AAGAUUUAGCAGUGUUAUACAGUUGACAGACUUGGAUGACUUCAUAACUCCUUCACAAGUGUGUUUUCAAAUAUGAGACAAAAAAUGGUUUCAAAUAACUAAAACAAAUAAUGCAAAUUUAUUUAUUUAAGAGUGUAUCAAGACAGCUAAAACACAAAAUGCUAGACAGGUUACAUCUUCAGGAAUUUCCAAAACCCAAAUUGGGGAUGAUGUUUAGUGUGCAGAGUUAAUCUAUUUCUAUGUGAGAUGACACCAAUAUUCUGGUCAACAGUAAAGAGUUUGAAUAUGUUACAGGAAGGAAGACCUGAAAGAGUGCAAAAAGUGCCAAAAACACUUAACAACUGUUUGGCCUGCAGUGGUUGUAUAACAUAGGUUGAGAGUGUUUUGAAUGGCCAGCAAAACCACAUGGACCCUGAAGCUAUGUAAAGACAUUGAGCUAUCUUUCCCCAGCAGAUCCUUCGAGAAAAUGUUAAUCAAAUUUACUGACAUUUCUUUUACGUCAAGCCUGGAUAUACUACGCCGAGAAAACUCAUGAAAAUUGGAUUUUGCCACGUCUUAGCAAAGUCAAGUCUCCACAGCAAAUAGCGGGCGUCUUUAUCAAAGAUGUACUGCCCAACGAACUUCAAACGAGUGCUUCUCGUCUGGCUGUCGUCAUGAUUAUGCCAUGCUUCGAUAAAGAACUGGAGGCUUCGAGAAGUGACUUUUUUCGCGAUGACCAACAGAGCAAAAAUGUCGACUUUGUUGUAACACCCGUAGAAAUCGAGCAGAUACUUGAAGAACUGGCUAUUGAAUUCGUUGACUUAAGUCCAUCUCAAAUUGAUUCUUAACUGACUUCACUUAUUAAUCGAAUCCAUGCGAAUCUGUACAGCGGCAUUAAAUUAGACUUGCAGAACCGGUUUUUUCCCCUACACUCGUAAUAAAAGCUUUGUGGCCAUUUAAAA